rnacentral:rRNA from 1 species
AGUGAACGCUGGCGGUAGGCCUAACACAUGCAAGUCGAACGGCAGCACAGUAAGAGCUUGCUCUUACGGGUGGCGAGUGGCGGACGGGUGAGGAAUACAUCGGAAUCUACUUUUUCGUGGGGGAUAACGUAGGGAAACUUACGCUAAUACCGCAUACGACCUACGGGUGAAAGCAGGGGAUCUUCGGACCUUGCGCGAUUGAAUGAGCCGAUGUCGGAUUAGCUAGUUGGCGGGGUAAAGGCCCACCAAGGCGACGAUCCGUAGCUGGUCUGAGAGGAUGAUCAGCCACACUGGAACUGAGACACGGUCCAGACUCCUACGGGAGGCAGCAGUGGGGAAUCUUGGCCCCAGGGCGCCCGCCUGCUCCCGCCCUCCCGCGUGGGUGAAGAAGGCCUUCGGGUUGUAAAGCCCUUUUGUUGGGCACGAAACGCAGCCGGUUCAUCCCCCGCUGUUCUGCCGGUACCCCCCGCCUAAGCCCCGGCUCCCUUCGUG